AAGCAUAUCAAUAAGCGGAGGAAAAGAAACUAACAAGGAUUCCCCUAGUAACGGCGAGUGAACCGGGAAGAGCUCAAAUUUGAAAUCUGGCGUGCUCAGUGCGUCCGAGUUGUAAUCUAUAGAGUCGUUUUCCGUGCCGGACUGUGUCCAAGUCCCUUGGAACAGGGUAUCAAAGAGGGUGAUAAUCCCGUACUUGACACAAUGACCGGUGCUCUGUGAUACGUCUUCUACGAGUCGAGUUGUUUGGGAAUGCAGCUCAAAAUGGGUGGUGAGUUCCAUCUAAAGCUAAAUAUUGGCGAGAGACCGAUAGCGAACAAGUACCGUGAGGGAAAGAUGAAAAGCACUUUGGAAAGAGAGUUAAACAGUACGUGAAAUUGUUAAAAGGGAAACGAUUGAAGUCAGUCGUGACUGAGAGGCUCAGCCGGUUCUGCCGGUGUAUUCCCCUCAGUCGGGUCAACAUCAGUUUUGUUCGGUGGAUAAGGGCAGUUGGAAGGUGGCACCCUCGGGUGUGUUAUAGCCAGCUGUCGCAUACAUCGGAUGAGACUGAGGAAUGCAGCUCGCCUUUAUGGCCGGGGUUCGCCCACGUCGAGCUAGGA
rnacentral:rRNA from 1 species